UACGUAGGUGGCAAGCGUUGUCCGGAUUUACUGGGCGUAAAGGGCGCGUAGGCGGCUGUCCAAGUCAGGUGUGAAAGCCCGGGGCUCAACCCCGGAAAUGCACUUGAGACUGGGCGGCUUGAGGACGGGAGAGGAUAGUGGAAUUCCCAGUGUAGAGGUGAAAUUCGUAGAUAUUGGGAAGAACACCGGUGGCGAAGGCGGCUAUCUGGACCGUUUCUGACGCUGAGGCGCGAAAGCGUGGGGAGCAAACAGG
rnacentral:rRNA from 1 species